GGGGGAAUAUUGCGCAAUGGGCGAAAGCCUGACGCAGCGACGCCGCGUGAGGGAUGAAGGUCUUCGGAUCGUAAACCUCUGUCAGCAGGGAAGAAAUUUUAGUGUGCUAAUCAGCAUUAAAUUGACGGUACCUGCAAAGGAAGCACCGGCUAACUCCGUGCCAGCAGCCGCGGUAAUACGGAGGGUGCGAGCGUUAAUCGGAAUUACUGGGCGUAAAGCGCUCGUAGGUGGUAUGUCAAGUCAAGGGUGAAAUCCCCGCGCUCAACGUGGGAACUGCCUUUGAAACUGGCAGACUGGAGUGUGUGAGAGGAUAGUGGAAUUCCAGGUGUAGGAGUGAAAUCCGUAGAUAUCUGGAGGAACAUCAGUGGCGAAGGCGACUAUCUGGCACAUAACUGACACUGAGGAGCGAAAGCGUGGGUAGCAAACAGGAUUAGAUACC
rnacentral:rRNA from 1 species